ensembl:lncRNA
GACGGCUGCUAGACGACACUACCUGUCUCUGCAUCUCUGUCCCAACCAGAGGGUGCUGCCUCCACACUAUCGAUACUGCCGAUGCCGAGGGCCGUCGCUGCCAGUCAGCUAGGUAAACACAGCCCACUCAUUUCCUGUCAAUCUCUCGCCAUCACCAGCUAGUGAUGAGAGAUGGACCGCCGUAAUGUUCUGUUCCACUUGUAUGUCACAAUGGAAUCUCUUGCUGAGCUUUCUCCUGUUCGAGAGAGUGUGUGUGUGUGUGUGUUUGAAUGUUUCUAGCAUCACAGAUGGGUUUGUGGCAUAACUACGUGCCCAUACAAAAAGGUAAGACGAAGAGUGAAAAACACAAGAGUGACAGGUGGUUCUUUUUUUUCUCCAUUUUUUUUCAACUGUUUGGACUUGGGGAGUGAGCUGUUUGGACUUGGGGAGUGAGCUGUUUGGUGACUACCGUUGAAACGCAGCACCAGUAAUAAACACACUCCGCGUACGGCAGCCAUGACGGAGCUGGCAAGCGAGUUUAUUUGUUGACUGUUCGUCUGAUUCGGUUGAACGCUCUGCGUACACACACACACACACACACACACACACACACACACACAGAACAGAACGCUCUUCCUCCCCCUCAUCUACAACCUCUCUCUCUCUUCACCAGGGCUGUUUGCUUGGAUCACGGCUCGUGUGGGUGCGCUGACAGCCGUGAUAUGCUAUCAAUCACUGCCUCAAAUGAGGCUCAGCCAUUUAUGGAUGAGAAACAAAUGGUAAUUUCCUUGGUGAUCAGAAUGGAUGAGAACUGUGCCCUUUUUAUUUUUAUUUUUAAUUUUUGUAUGCUACAAAACUAAUUACAUACUCAUAGUGUCAACUGUGGAGCAGCCUCAUGAAAAGAGAUCAGGGUAUUACUCUGAAUAAGUGAAUGAAUGGUCUCUCCUGCUCCUCAACAUCAUCACAUUCCUAUCAUUGACGCUGCGCAAAUGUAUUCUGCUCAAGAGUAGCGCUUGACUCCAACCACAAGA